AUUGAACGCUGGCGGCAGGCCUAACACAUGCAAGUCGAGCGGAUGAAGGGAGCUUGCUCCUGGAUUCAGCGGCGGACGGGCGAGUAAUGCCUAGGAAUCUGCCUGGUAGUGGGGGAUAACGUCCGGAAACGGGCGCUAAUACCGCAUACGUCCUGAGGGAGAAAGUGGGGGAUCUUCGGACCUCACGCUAUCAGAUGAGCCUAGGUCGGAUUAGCUAGUUGGUUGGGUAAAGGCCUACCAAGGCGACGAUCCGUAACUGGUCUGAGAGGAUGAUCAGUCACACUGGAACUGAGACACGGUCCAGACUCCUACGGGAGGCAGCAGUGGGGAAUAUUGGACAAUGGGCGAAAGCCUGAUCCAGCCAUGCCGCGUGUGUGAAGAAGGUCUUCGGAUUGUAAAGCACUUUAAGUUGGGAGGAAGAGCAGUAAGUUAAUACCUUGCUGUUUUGACGUUACCAACAGAAUAAGCACCGGCUAACUUCGUG
rnacentral:rRNA from 1 species